UUUACAAGUAUGCUUUCAGAUGGGCUGAUUGUGUUCUCUCAAUCUACAACAAAGGCCAUGUCCCUUGGUACCAGGGGAGAAAACGGUGGCUUUAUGUCGAUAGUUAGGGAGACAAACCAAGGGCACUGGAUUGAUGGAGGAGUGAACUGUGUCAUUCGACUCUAUUGGUGCUAUAGAAUGAAAAGACAAGCUGAGAGAAGCAACAAAGGAGCUCGAGGUAAGCAUUCAUAUGGUCAAAGCUCCUGAUUCACCCAACAAGGAGCCAUGUCGGACCUUGGAACUGAACGUCGAAUACAUAAAGCUGAGUUACAUGUCAAAACAAUACGAUUUAUAUAGAAACCUUGCCGUCAAUUUCAUAUCAAAAGUCCAACAAAAAUCGUAUGGAGGAGUAAACAUUUCCUUUAUUCUCAAAUAACCACAACAUAAUUACUUUUAACAGAUUUAAAAUUUUGUUGGUGUGCUUAACAUGUGACGGAAUAUAGUUAAUUUUCAGAAAAUUUUACAAUCACUUGGUAAAGAAAUUAUUGAAGCACUUCAUCCUGUGACGAAUAUAGUUAAUUUGA